CCGGAUCCAGAGUUUGAUCAUGGCUCAGGACGAACGCUGGCGGCGUGCCUAAUACAUGCAAGUCGAGCGGACAGAUGGGAGCUUGCUCCCUGAUGUCAGCGGCGGACGGGUGAGUAACACGUGGGUAACCUGCCUGUAAGACUGGGAUAACUCCGGGAAACCGGGGCUAAUACCGGAUGGUUGUUUGAACCGCAUGGUUCAGACAUAAAAGGUGGCUUCGACUACCACUUACAGAUGGACCCGCGGCGCAUUAGCUAGUUGGUGAGGUAACGGCUCACCAAGGCAACGAUGCGUAGCCGACCUGAGAGGGUGAUCGGCCACACUGGGACUGAGACACGGCCCAGACUCCUACGGGAGGCAGCAGUAGGGAAUCUUCCGCAAUGGACGAAAGUCUGACGGAGCAACGCCGCGUGAGUGAUGAAAGUUUUCGGGUCGUAAAGCUCUGUUGUUAGGGAAGAACAAGUGCCGUUCAAAUUGGGCGGCACCUUGACGGUACCUAACCAGAAAGCCACGGCUAACUACGUGCCAGCAGCCGCGGUAAUACGUAGGUGGCAAGCGUUGUCCGGAAUUAUUGGGCGUAAAGGACUCGCAGGCGGUUUCUUAAGUCUGAUGUGAAAGCCCCCGGCUCAACCGGGGAGGGUCAUUGGAAACUGGGGAACUUGAGUGCAGAAGAGGAGAGUGGAAUUCCACGUGUAGCGGUGAAAUGCGUAGAGAUGUGGAGGAACACCAGUGGCGAAGGCGACUCUCUGGUCUGUAACUGACGCUGAGGAGCGAAAGCGUGGGGAGCGAACAGGAUUAGAUACCCUGGUAGUCCACGCCGUAAACGAUGAGUGCUAAGUGUUAGGGGGUUUCCGCCCCUUAGUGCUGCAGCUAACGCAUUAAGCACUCCGCCUGGGGAGUACGGUCGCAAGACUGAAACUCAAAGGAAUUGACGGGGGCCCGCACAAGCGGUGGAGCACGUGGUUUAAUUCGAAGCAACGCGAAGAACCUUACCAGGUCUUGACAUCCUCUGACAAUCCUAGAGAUAGGACGUCUCCUUCGGGGGCAGAGUGACAGGUGGUGCAUGGUUGUCGUCAGCUCGUGUCGUGAGAUGUUGGGUUAAGUCCCGCAACGAGCGCAACCCUUGAUCUUAGUUGCCAGCAUUCAGUUGGGCACUCUAAGGUGACUGCCGGUGACAAACCGGAGGAAGGUGGGGAUGACGUCAAAUCAUCAUGCCCCUUAUGACCUGGGCUACACACGUGCUACAAUGGACAGAACAAAGGGCAGCGAAACCGCGAGGUUGAGCCAAUCCCACAAAUCUGUUCUCAGUUCGGAUCGCAGUCUGCAACUCGACUGCGUGAAGCUGGAAUCGCUAGUAAUCGCGGAUCAGCAUGCCGCGGUGAAUACGUUCCCGGGCCUUGUACACACCGCCCGUCACACCACGAGAGUUUGUAACACCCGAAGUCGGUGAGGUAACCUUUAUGGAGCCA
rnacentral:rRNA from 2 species